rnacentral:rRNA from 1 species
GUAGCAAUACCUAGUGGCAGACGGGUGAGUAACGCGUGGUCAACCUACCGUUGAGUGGGGGAUAACUAGCCGAAAGGUUAGCUAAUACCGCAUACGAGUCUCGGGGGCAUCCCUGGGCCUUAAAAGGAGCAAUCCGCUCGAUGACGGGACCGCGUCCCAUUAGCUAGAUGGUGGGGUAACGGCCUACCAUGGCUCCGAUGGGUAGCUGGUUUGAGAGAGCGACCAGCCACACUGGGACUGAGAAACGGCCCAGACUCCUACGGGAGGCAGCAGUGAGGAAUUUUCCGCAAUGGGCGAAAGCCUGACGGAGCGACGCCGCGUGUGGGAAGAAGGCCUUCGGG